UGCAGUGAAAAGGAGAAUGAUUUAUUUAUUUUUUUUACACACUGUAGUGAAUUACUUUUAGCACUGGGUGAGUCUUUGCACUGAUGGGAACCAUGUAAACGUUCAGAGAGAUUCAUUAUCACUUUGUCAAGCAUUUCCAUCCACUCAUGAAUCUGGUUACAAAUGAAAGAAAGAAUGAAAGAAGUAAAGGGACUGUUUUGCGCUGAGCUUACCUGGCACUUCUGCUGUGACGUGGUGCCUGUCAUCCUUUGAAUAUGUUUUCCAGCUGUUUCAUACUUGUGUCUCUCUAUACUUGAGGAGAGGGGAAAUCACACUGUCCGACUUACCAGCUGUUCUUGGUGUUAUCUGGACUAGUUUUAGUGCCCGGGAGGGAAUAUUGUUCCUUCAUGAAUUAUGAAACUCCCGUACAGUUCAUGGUACUGUUGUGAGGUUGUGUGAAAUCUGCCACGUGGCCGUUCUGUUCUUGUCUUGGAGAUGUGGCUAUCUUUUGAAGAAAUCAUUAUUGACUAAAUACGUCUAGACUUGAGAAAAUAAAACCACAGAACCUUAUCGUAGGGAUCAUCCUUACAAAUGCAUCACUAUCUCUCACAAUCCAUAAACCUAUGUACUGUGAAAUGAUGCUUUCCUACGAAUGAUCCCAGUGCGGGUUUCCCUUUGUUACGCCUUGAAGGUGAGUUUUCCUUUCAUACGCACGUGAAUAUCUACCUGCACAGAGGAGUGUGUGAAUAGCAAAGCCCUAGGGAGAAUUAAAUAACACUCAUCCCGUACUUCCAGUUGAUUUGCUUCCGAUGUGCCCAUUAAUCGACUGCAAGAGGUUCCUAUGAGACUUUUUAAAACUACACCUGAAUGUAAAGACUCCUUACGGAUGUGAGGUAUACUGUAACGUUUACAUUCAAACGGAUGGCUGAGGAUGAGACAAAAAAAAAAAGUGGUAGCAAAGAGAGUUAUAUCUUGAUUUUUGCAUAGAGAUGUUUUCAGGCACUGAGAACGCGCCCGUGCGUUUGUGCUGUCAAAGAAGAAAUAAGCAGUAUGAGCGUUCCCGGGAUCAAAAAAAGAUUCAAUUGUAAAUAUUUGGCAUUAGCACACCAAUCCAGAACAAGAAGAAAGCCUGAGGCGUUCUGUGGGAGCCAGUUACGGCAGCUGCCUCGGAGAGCCCUCUAUGAAUGGCUUUAUUGUAUUGCCCUCUACCGGAAUUACCGAGGACUGCAGACUGAUGCUCAGCGCGGAGAAAAAACUCGGGCGGGAGCUGCGUGAGGCGGAUACAAAUACGGUGUUUCACACUGCUUGGCAGAACCGCAGGGUCGAAUGCUUCUGGAUUUGCAGUCCAAAGAGGGUCUCGGGUUUUGUUCUGUCUUAGUGACUUUAGAGAAGAUUCCGUGUAUGCAGAAGUGAGACCCAAAGUUCUAAACUUGCCCAGAAAAUGGAUAACGUAUCCUUGAACUUUCAGGAAAAGAAAAAAAGAAAGCUUUCUGAGUUGCAGAGGUAGAUGGUUUCAGAGCUGAUGAGAGAACUGCUGUGUGAAACUGUGAGGAAAAGGUCUCUUUGGGUCCUGUGCCACAGAUUAUGAUUAUGAUUAUUAUUAAUUAUUAUGUUUGCAUUCAAAAAGAAUGCUCAGCUUUUCCUUACUGAUAGGCUUUUAUUAUUACUAUUUAUAUUCAUCCAGCGCUUGACUGAGACCAUUUUCCCCCUUAAAGGUGUAGGUCACUCAAUGCAUACUUGGUUACUGAGAUGUAAGGAAGAAAUGAAUCCCACGAAGGUGCAUUCUGAUCUUAAACCAAGAAAGGGAUUUUAAUGUUUGGCCCACCCUGAACCCACGGUGAAAUCUUCAGUGUUUCUCCCUCCACAGGUGCCUAAAUCCUACUGCUGUUAUACCACGAGCCUGUUAUUCCUGUUGUCACAGCUUUGGUUGGAUGACUUGAACUUUUAAACUAAAUUAUAAAAAAUAAGUCAGAAAUGGACCGAAAGGAGAACUUUUACUGAUGCAGCUCUCACAUGGAAAGACUGACCCAAGGCACUGCUUAAAGAAAGUUUUGCAUGAAAUUAUUGAAAGUAUUUCAUUACUGUACAGGUGAAUUCACCGAUUUUACGCAUUGGAAUAAUCCCUUAGAAGAAAACCUUCUUUCCAUACGAGGAAUUGGAGAAUGUGUGAGUUACUCGUGGCAGCAAGCUGAAGAUCUGACUCGUUUUGUGUAAAAGAUGGAAGAUCAGGUCACGACUCUCGGCCCGGUAAGGUGCAGCAGCUGUAGUUUUGUUCCACCCAUUUAACUCACAGGUUUUGUACUCUUGUUCAGCCUCAGCAAGGUCAUCCAAGCCUUUGAAAGGAAAAGAAAAGCAAUAUUGAAAGGACAGAUUUAAAGAACCGAGCUAAUAGAGUUUUGUAUUUGUCGGAUUUCUCACACGUAAGCCACCAGAACAUCUGUAAGGAAACAGGCACUUUUAGGUGUUCUCCCUUCCGAGGGCUAUUUAGCAGUCCUACAGUACUGUCCACGGUUUGUGGUGUCAUCCUUGCAGGAACCGAGAAUUUACAAGCGUCAUUUUGCUUGUCUUGUAAGAAGAGUAAGAAAUAGGUAGCAGUCCCUUAAUUCUUCUAACCUAGUUUAGAAUCAAUUAAUUAAUCAGUAGCUGUGACUAAUUACUCACUUCCAAUUAACCUGGAAACUGUUACAAAAUGAAGCCAGAGAACAUGACUUCCAUGGUAACCGGUAAGUUUCUGCAGUGAAUUGGUGACGCAACCUAUGUGAUAUUACAUACCCUAUCUACGCUUACCUUAACAAUAGAGAAGGUGAUUUAUUUUGUAAGUUUGUGUUGUGCAGCUUUAUUUAUUUGUUUAUUUAUUUUAGUGCCUAUAUAGUCCUCUACCAACUGUGCUGUUGUAUUUCAAGGGGAGUUUAUGGUCUGUAUUUUAUUACUUGUUAGAAUACUAGCUCGAAAAAGUUAAUAAACCGUACAUGAGUCCAGCGAUGUGACCGUUAACUAACUGGAACACUUUGCCUCACUGAGGACUUGAAAAUCACCAGAUACGAACGCAUUGCUUGUGCAACGAAUACUUUUCCAAAGCUGAAUAGAAUGUCAUCAAAAGAAAAGCUGAUCAAAACCCACGUCAGUGCUCUGGUCUUAACUUAGGAAUGGCUUACGUUGUUGUAUCUAUGUGAUGUUAAAAAACAAAACAAAACAAAAAAAAAAACAAUUGGCUUGGCCUCUGUUGACUGAUUGCGAUCACAGUAUGGCUCAGACCUCAAAGAUCAUCGAGCUCGAAUGCCUCCACCACCGGCCGGGCUGCCACCCACUCAAUUGGGCUGCCCAGAGAGCCACAUCCAGCCUGGCCUCGAACGCCUCCGGAGACGCGUCAUUCACAACCUCCCUGGGCAUCCUGUGUCAGUGCCUCAAUACCUCGAGUAAGAAAUUCCUGCCUCCUAAUAUCUAACCUAAAUCUUCCCUCUUUUCGUUUAAAGCCAUUCCACCUUGUUCUGUCACUAUCAGGUUGUAGCGGAAAUGCCAAAUCACAGCUUGAAUCACAGGUGAUUGCGCACCUGGUGGGAAGGCAGGGCCAACCCAGGGGACCUCAGGUGCACUCAAUGCAGCUGAGUGACCGGGAGGGGUGGAGCCAGGAUCCGCCCCUUCCCAGGCCUCAUUUAAGGGUCAGCAGUGGAGGUGAGGGUGUCUUGCUGGUGUUUCUUAUAUCCUUGAGGCCCUCUGAAGGUAAGCAGCUGCUUUUGUUUGUUUCUGCACCCACGGCUGUUGUGCUUGGGCUUGUUCUCUUUUGCUGCAGCCGUGGGCUUUGCCACCCUGCUGUUAUUGGUGUACUUUCCAUCGUGUUACAGUGUUACGCAGACCCUGUAAAAAGUUGGUCCUCCUCCUGUUUAUAAGAUACCUUCAAGUGCUAGAAGCCACAGUGAAGCAUUUUCUUCUCCUUGGUAAGCAAAAUCAAGUUCCAUCAACAACUUUUCUUGAUAGGAACAGUACUAAAGCUCUUUGCUCAUCUUUGUGGCCUUCCCCUGGACCCACUCCAUCAGCCCCACGUUCUCUCUCGUGCUGAGGGCCCCAGGCACAGGUCUCCAGAUAGAGCGCUGUGAGGGCAGAGUAGAGGGGGGACGAUUGCCUCCCUGUCUUGUUGCAGCCCAGGAUACCCUUGGUUUUCUGGGCUGGAAGUGCACUCUGCUGGCUCACACGGAGCUUCUAGUAUGCUGGAACCCUCAAGUUCUUCUCUGCAGGGCUGAUCUCAGUGACUUCUCCUCCUGGUCUGAGCUCGUAUCUAGCAAGGUCCUGACCCUUGGGAUGCGUGUUAUCGGGCCCCAUAGCCUUGUACGCACUCAGUCUCAUUGGGUGGUCUCAGACUCGCUCUUCUCUUACUGGGUGAGGGAUUUGAAUCCUCCAGCCCCCAGCCGGAGGUUUGUGAACAUGAGAGCUAUGGAAAUCCUGACCGCUAGCAAAGACUAAAGCGAGGAACUCAUUGAGCACUUCAGCCUUCCUUCCAUCUGUCGUUGCCCUUUCUCACUUAUGAGAGUGAGUAUGCUUUCCUUGUUCCUUUCUCUUGUGAGCAGUGUACCUGUAGAAAUCCCUUCCUGUUUCUUGUUUGUUUGUUUUUAAAUCUCCUGCCGAAUUCAGUGUCAUCUGAACUGUCGAGGGCUGGAGAACUCUCGUGCUCUCAGAAAGGCAUCCUUAAAGCGCUCCUUUCGUGCUCCUUUCUAACUCAGCGCUUGGGUAUAGAUAUACAUAUAUGAAGUUAUUUUUUUCUUCUUCUUCAUAUGGAGUGUUGUACUCAAUUUUAUGUAGUUAUUGCAUAAUGAGCCUCCUCUGCCUGAGUUAAGUGAAAGCUGUGAAGCGCAUUGAGUGUUGCAGAAGCAGAACCUGUCUGAAAUAAUGCUGCUUGGCUGGCUUUGUUGCCUUUUGGUGUGUGUGCGUGUGGGGGGGGAAUCGAGGAGAGCAACAGAUCUUUUUGUUUUAUGAGGCUUCCCUGAUGACAGGGCUUUUAAUAUUGGAACUUGUUUUCUACGGGAGGGUUCUUCUUUGUUGUUUAUAGUCUUUGGGAUUCUACAUGCUAUUCAGAAACAAUUGCUCAGAGGUAGGUAACUUAUGGUGAACCUGUUUCAUUCCCUGUCAAGUCUCAACAGAGAAGAGUGGUGUUACCUGAUACCUCUGUGGAGAUAGCCACUUCCAGAGUGCUCUGCACUUUACAGGGACUCUGCAUCCUUUGUUCCCAUAAGGCAAUAAACGCUGCCCAAUGAAUGCAGCAAUUGGUUCCCAGAGUAAAGAGUUCGGGGUGGAAUAGCACAGCGAGGUUGUUAAAUGCUGAUCUGAGCACAGAGUUAUUCACAAUGUCAUGGGAGGAGGUCAGACUGACUCUAAGCAAGUCCCGUGGAAAGGGAGUACAAGUUUAGCCUUGCGAUCUCUGAAAAAUCUUAAAUGAAAAUCCACCUUUCUCAAAAUUACUGAAACUCUGGACCAUUUCU
rnacentral:lncRNA from 1 species